AAAGCGUGCGCAGGCGGCUUUGCAAGACAGAGGUGAAAUCCCCGGGCUCAACCUGGGAACUGCCUUUGUGACUGCAAGGCUAGAGUACGGCAGAGGGGGAUGGAAUUCCGCGUGUAGCAGUGAAAUGCGUAGAUAUGCGGAGGAACACCAAUGGCGAAGGCAAUCCCCUGGGCCUGUACUGACGCUCAUGCACGAAAGCGUGGGGAGCAAACAGGAUUAGAUACCCUGGU
rnacentral:rRNA from 1 species